AGUGAACGCUGGCGGUAGGCCUAACACAUGCAAGUCGAACGGCAGCACAGUAAGAGCUUGCUCUUACGGGUGGCGAGUGGCGGACGGGUGAGGAAUACAUCGGAAUCUACUUUUUCGUGGGGGAUAACGUAGGGAAACUUACGCUAAUACCGCAUACGACCUACGGGUGAAAGCAGGGGAUCUUCGGACCUUGCGCGAUUGAAUGAGCCGAUGUCGGAUUAGCUAGUUGGCGGGGUAAAGGCCCACCAAGGCGACGAUCCGUAGCUGGUCUGAGAGGACGGUCAGCCACACUGGAACUGAGACACGGUCCAGACUCCUAAGGGAGGCAGCAGUGGGGAAUAUUGGACAAUGGGCGCAAGCCUGAUCCAGCCAUACCGCGUGGGUGAAGAAGGCCUUCGGGUUGUAAAGCCCUUUUGUUGGGAAAGAAAAGCAGCAGGUUAAUACCCCGCUGUUCUGACGGUACCCAAAGAAUAAGCACCGGCUAACUUCGUG
rnacentral:rRNA from 1 species